rnacentral:tRNA from 1 species
GAGCCGGUAGCUCAGCUGGUAGAGCAACGGACUUUUAAUCCGUAGGUCCUGGGUUCGACCCCCAGCCGGCUCA